UACGUAGGGUGCGAGCGUUGUCCAGAAUUACUGGGCGUAAAGAGCUCGUAGGUGGUUUGUCGCGUUGUUCGUGAAAACUCACAGCUUAACUGUGGGCGUGCGGGCGAUACGGGCAGACUGGAGUACUGCAGGGGAGACUGGAAUUCCUGGUGUAGCGGUGGAAUGCGCAGAUAUCAGGAGGAACACCGGUGGCGAAGGCGGGUCUCUGGGCAGUAACUGACGCUGAGGAGCGAAAGCGUGGGGAGCGAACAGG
rnacentral:rRNA from 1 species